rnacentral:rRNA from 1 species
GACGAACGCUGGCGGCGUGCCUAAUACAUGCAAGUAGAACGCUGAAGGAGGAGCUUGCUUCUCUGGAUGAGUUGCGAACGGGUGAGUAACGCGUAGGUAACCUGCCUGGUAGCGGGGGAUAACUAUUGGAAACGAUAGCUAAUACCGCAUAAUAGUAGAUGUUGCAUGACAUUUGCUUAAAAGGUGCAAUUGCAUCACUACCAGAUGGACCUGCGUUGUAUUAGCUAGUUGGUGAGGUAACAGCUCACCAAGGCAACGAUACAUAGCCGACCUGAGAGGGUGAUCGGCCACACUGGGACUGAGACACGGCCCAGACUCCUACGGGAGGCAGCAGUAGGGAAUCUUCGGCAAUGGACGGAAGUCUGACCGAGCAACGCCGCGUGAGUGAAGAAGGUUUUCGGAUCGUAAAGCUCUGUUGUAAGAGAAGAACGAGUGUGAGAGUGGAAAGUUCACACUGUGACGGUAGCUUACCAGAAAGGGACGGCUAACUACGUG